rnacentral:misc_RNA from 1 species
CUCUUUUUCUAGCACCAGUUCUACUCCAUCACCAAGACCAGCAGCUAUAGGACAAAGCAAGAGACACAGGAUAAUAAAUGAGGUAGAACCAGACAAUAGUUCUAGCCAUAGGCCGAUUCAACAAGGAUCAAUACCUACUGGUGAUGACACAAGGAUCAAAGUCCACUUGCCAAAGGAAACAAGGCAUGGGAGUGGGACUGGCAGUAGUCGGGAACAAUGCCAGCAGGGUGAUUCUCCACAUCCAGGGGAGUUGGUUAUCUGCAAGAAGAAGAGGAAAGACAGGGAUAAGUCGGUGGUUAAGUCAAGGACUGGAUCUAGUGGCCCAGUUUCUCCCCCUAGCAUGGGUCGUAA